ACGAACGCUGGCGGCGUGCUUAACACAUGCAAGUCGCACGGAAAGGCCCUGCUUUUGUGGGGUGCUCGAGUGGCGAACGGGUGAGUAACACGUGAGUAACCUGCCCUUGACUUUGGGAUAACUUCAGGAAACUGGGGCUAAUACCGGAUAGGAGCUCCUGCUGCAUGGUGGGGGUUGGAAAGUUUCGGCGGUUGGGGAUGGACUCGCGGCUUAUCAGCUUGUUGGUGGGGUAGUGGCUUACCAAGGCUUUGACGGGUAGCCGGCCUGAGAGGGUGACCGGCCACAUUGGGACUGAGAUACGGCCCAGACUCCUACGGGAGGCAGCAGUGGGGAAUAUUGCACAAUGGGCGGAAGCCUGAUGCAGCAACGCCGCGUGCGGGAUGACGGCCUUCGGGCUGUAAACCGCUUUCGCCUAUGACGAAGCGUGAGUGACGGUAAUGGGUAAAGAAGCACCGGCUAACUACGUG
rnacentral:rRNA from 1 species